rnacentral:rRNA from 1 species
GGUUAAGCGACUAAGCGUACACGGUGGAUGCCCUGGCAGUCAGAGGCGAUGAAGGACGUGCUAAUCUGCGAAAAGCGUCGGUAAGGUGAUAUGAACCGUUAUAACCGGCGAUGUCCGAAUGGGGAAACCCAGUGCAAUUCGUUGCACUAUCGUUAACUGAAUACAUAGGUUAACGAGGCGAACCGGGGGAACUGAAACAUCUAAGUACCCCGAGGAAAAGAAAUCAACCGAGAUUCCCCCAGUAGCGGCGAGCGAACGGGGAGCAGCCCAGAGUCUGAAUCAGCUUGUGUGUUAGUGGAACGGUCUGGAAAGUCCGACGGUACAGGGUGAUAGUCCCGUACACCAAAAUGCACAGGUUGUGAACUCGAAGAGUAGGGCGGGACACGUGGUAUCCUGUCUGAAUAUGGGGGGACCAUCCUCCAAGGCUAAAUACUCCUGACUGACCGAUAGUGAACCAGUACCGUGAGGGAAAGGCGAAAAGAACCCCGGCGAGGGGAGUGAAAAAGAACCUGAAACCGUGUACGUACAAGCAGUGGGAGCACCUUCGGGUGUGACUGCGUACCUUUUGUAUAAUGGGUCAGCGACUUAUAUUCUGUAGCAAGGUUAACCGUAUAGGGGAGCCGCAGGGAAACCGAGUCUUAACUGGGCGUUAAGUUGCAGGGUAUAGACCCGAAACCCGGUGAUCUAGCCAUGGGCAGGUUGAAGGUUGGGUAACACUAACUGGAGGACCGAACCGACUAAUGUUGAAAAAUUAGCGGAUGACUUGUGGCUGGGGGUGAAAGGCCAAUCAAACCGGGAGAUAGCUGGUUCUCCCCGAAAGCUAUUUAGGUAGCGCCUCGUGAACUCAUCUUCGGGGGUAGAGCACUGUUUCGGCUAGGGGGUCAUCCCGACUUACCAACCCGAUGCAAACUACGAAUACCGAAGAAUGUUAUCACGGGAGACACACGGCGGGUGCUAACGUCCGUCGUGAAGAGGGAAACAACCCAGACCGCCAGCUAAGGUCCCAAAGUCAUGGUUAAGUGGGAAACGAUGUGGGAAGGCACAGACAGCCAGGAUGUUGGCUUAGAAGCAGCCAUCAUUUAAAGAAAGCGUAAUAGCUCACUGGUCGAGUCGGCCUGCGCGGAAGAUGUAACGGGGCUAAACCAUGCACCGAAGCUGCGGCAGCGACACUAUGUGUUGUUGGGUAGGGGAGCGUUCUGUAAGUCUGCGAAGGUGACCUGUGAGGGUUGCUGGAGGUAUCAGAAGUGCGAAUGCUGACAUAAGUAACGAUAAAGCGGGUGAAAAGCCCGCUCGCCGGAAGACCAAGGGUUCCUGUCCAACGUUAAUCGGGGCAGGGUGAGUCGACCCCUAAGGCGAGGCCGAAAGGCGUAGUCGAUGGGAAACAGGUUAAUAUUCCUGUACUUGGUGUUACUGCGAAGGGGGGACGGAGAAGGCUAUGUUAGCCGGGCGACGGUUGUCCCGGUUUAAGCAUGUAGGCUGAUUAUCCAGGCAAAUCCGGAUAAUCAAGGCUGAGGUGUGAUGACGAGGCACUACGGUGCUGAAGUAACAAAUGCCCUGCUUCCAGGAAAAGCCUCUAAGCAUCAGGUAACAUUAAAUCGUACCCCAAACCGACACAGGUGGUCAGGUAGAGAAUACCAAGGCGCUUGAGAGAACUCGGGUGAAGGAACUAGGCAAAAUGGUGCCGUAACUUCGGGAGAAGGCACGCUGGUGUGUAGGUGAAGUCCCUGCGGAUGGAGCUGAGACCAGUCGAAGAUACCAGCUGGCUGCAACUGUUUAUUAAAAACACAGCACUGUGCAAACACGAAAGUGGACGUAUACGGUGUGACGCCUGCCCGGUGCCGGAAGGUUAAUUGAUGGGGUUAUCCGUAAGGAGAAGCUCUUGAUCGAAGCCCCGGUAAACGGCGGCCGUAACUAUAACGGUCCUAAGGUAGCGAAAUUCCUUGUCGGGUAAGUUCCGACCUGCACGAAUGGCGUAAUGAUGGCCAGGCUGUCUCCACCCGAGACUCAGUGAAAUUGAACUCGCUGUGAAGAUGCAGUGUACCCGCGGCAAGACGGAAAGACCCCGUGAACCUUUACUAUAGCUUGACACUGAACAUUGAGCCUUGAUGUGUAGGAUAGGUGGGAGGCUUUGAAGCGUGGACGCCAGUCUGCGUGGAGCCAACCUUGAAAUACCACCCUUUAAUGUUUGAUGUUCUAACGUUGGCCCCUUACCGGGGUUGCGGACAGUGUCUGGUGGGUAGUUUGACUGGGGCGGUCUCCUCCCAAAGCGUAACGGAGGAGCACGAAGGUUAGCUAAUCCUGGUCGGACAUCAGGAGGUUAGUGCAAUGGCAUAAGCUAGCUUGACUGCGAGCGUGACGGCGCGAGCAGGUGCGAAAGCAGGUCAUAGUGAUCCGGUGGUUCUGAAUGGAAGGGCCAUCGCUCAACGGAUAAAAGGUACUCCGGGGAUAACAGGCUGAUACCGCCCAAGAGUUCAUAUCGACGGCGGUGUUUGGCACCUCGAUGUCGGCUCAUCACAUCCUGGGGCUGAAGUAGGUCCCAAGGGUAUGGCUGUUCGCCAUUUAAAGUGGUACGCGAGCUGGGUUUAGAACGUCGUGAGACAGUUCGGUCCCUAUCUGCCGUGGGCGCUGGAGAAUUGAGGGGGGCUGCUCCUAGUACGAGAGGACCGGAGUGGACGCAUCACUGGUGUUCGGGUUGUCAUGCCAAUGGCACUGCCCGGUAGCUAAAUGCGGAAGAGAUAAGUGCUGAAAGCAUCUAAGCACGAAACUUGCCCCGAGAUGAGUUCUCCCUGAGACUUUAAGUCUCCUGAAGGAACGUUAAAGACGAUGACGUUGAUAGGCCGGGUGUGUAAGCGCAGCGAUGCGUUGAGCUAACCGGUACUAAUGAACCGUGAGGCUUAACCUU